GUCGUCGGCCGCCCUGACGCCGCCAAUCCCAAAGGCUCCUCCGCCCUCGCCGCCACCCUCCACGCCGCCGCCAUCCUCCUCCGCAUCGACUCAAAUUGGGACUGGUUCAUCAAUCUUGACUCUGCCGACUACCCCCUUGUCACACAAGACGAUCUGCUACAUGUGUUCUCUUACCUCCCGAAGGACCUCAAUUUUGUGGAGCAUUCCGGGCGAAUUGGUUGGAGAGAGUCUCGUCGGAUGAG
rnacentral:misc_RNA from 1 species